GUGUUCAUAGAAAGGACAGAUGAUUGGCAUCACCGGCGACAGGGAUGGGAAUAGCCUUCGGGUUUUACCUGUCAUCAUACAAUAUUCUACUCUUUCGUAUGACGUUCAUGCUUUCCGGUGUAUACCUAUUUUU
rfam:Solanum tuberosum cultivar DM 1-3 516 R44 scf00047_108, whole genome shotgun sequence.